rnacentral:rRNA from 1 species
CCUACGGGAGGCAGCAGUGGGGAAUAUUGGACAAUGGGGGCAACCCUGAUCCAGUCAUGCCGCGUGUGUGAAGAAGGCCCUCGGGUUGUAAAGCACUUUCAGUGAGGAAGAACGCCUGGUGGUUAAUACCCAUCAGGAAAGACAUCACUCACAGAAGAAGCACCGGCUAACUCCGUGCCAGCAGCCGCGGUAAUACGGAGGGUGCGAGCGUUAAUCGGAAUUACUGGGCGUAAAGCGCGCGUAGGUGGCUUGAUAAGCCGGUUGUGAAAGCCCCGGGCUCAACCUGGGAACGGCAUCCGGAACUGUCAAGCUAGAGUGCAGGAGAGGAAGGUAGAAUUCCCGGUGUAGCGGUGAAAUGCGUAGAGAUCGGGAGGAAUACCAGUGGCGAAGGCGGCCUUCUGGACUGACACUGACACUGAGGUGCGAAAGCGUGGGUAGCAAACAGGAUUAGAUACCCUUGUAGUC